CCACCCACGCAUCCACCCAUCCAUGCAUCCAUCCAUCCCCUUGCUACACCAUGCAAUCAAUACUCAUUUACUAAUAUGGGACUGUGGGGAAUAUAAAACUGAGUACUAAAUAUAUCUGGGCAGCAUCUAACAGUACUCGUUCUGAUAACUAAUAUUUAUUGAACAGUACCAGAAAUAUAUUUUAAAAAAUGUUGAGUAGGGCCCAGAUCUGCUUUCAAGAAGAAGCUGCCCAGAUCUGCUGAGCAAGAACAGUGCUUCCGGGAACACCUGAGCUAAGGGCUCUCUGGCAGUUUCUUGUCCAGGGAAACCUUCAUAGAAAUGACAUUACGCUUGAGCCAUGGAUGAUGAUAAGGAUUCUGCCAGGUGGGAAGUGUUCAAGGCUUCCUGGGCAGAGGAGGUAGAGGGGUGGCGAGGCAUGGGGCAUGGGAACCGGUGGCAUCUGGCUGCAAAGUGGGGCCCGAGGGAUUGUGAUUGCAGGGUUCCUGUGGGGUUGGCCAGAUCUGGCCUUGGAAGAAAGGUCUGGCGAGACUUUGCAUGGCUUCCUAUGGAGUAAGAAAAGAAGAGCCCAGAAGGGCCGGGUGUGUGUCUGCUCAUGUGUGUGUAAGUUUGCGUGUUUGUGUGUGUGUUUGUGUGUGUGAGUUUGUGAGUUUGUGUAAAUGUGUUUGUGUGAGUUUGUGUUUGAGUCUGAGUCUGUGUAUUUGUGUGUCUGUGUGAGUUUGUGUGUGUGAGUCUGUGUGUCUGUGUGUGUGUCUGUCUGUGUGUGAGUUUGCGUGUCUGUGUGAGUCUGUGUAUGUGUUUGUGUUUGUCCGUGUGUGUGUGAGUCUGUGUUUUUAUGUGUGUGAGAGUGUGUGUGUGUACAUGUGUGCUUAGAGAGCCAUUGGCAUGGUCAGCAUGUGGUUAGAGGCUGCCCUUCUGGGAAGUUCUGAUUUUCUGGCUCCUCACCCCCGAUUCUGUGGCUACAUCCAGGUAUUAAACUCCGAUGGCUUUUCACAUCCUUUGCCCCUGGGUCACACGAGAUUUCCCAAGGGGGUGUAGUGGGGAUUGAAUAGGAGACAGCGGAGGGUGAGAGAAGGAAGGGGAAAGGAAGCAGCAGCAGUGGGCAGGCUUAUCACUGCCCUGGGGUUUGAAGCCGGUUACCAGCACUCAUUUUCCAAAACCAGCCUGCCCAGAUGGCUGUCUGCCCACCUCAGCGGAAAAAGGCGUUGUGGCAUCAGUUCCUGCAGCGGCGCUACUGGGUAAGGCUGGGCGAGGGGCGGGCCACCAGAUGUGCUUCCUGCCAGCUAGAGCUCUCGGCUAAAACCCUCCUCUCCACUCUGCUCUUCACCCCAUGGAGUCCAGAAAGUUCUGCAUGUGAACGUGAGGGACACUGAGGACCAGUCCUGGGUAGCCAAGGAGGUCCAGCACUCGCAAUUCCCUGGUGGCAGAAGUAACCUGAGCCCGGGGGAGUGAAGAAGCCAAUCAGAAGACAGAGAGCUUGCUCGGAGGUGAUCCCUUAACCAAAAUCGGGGUAAGUGCCCAGGUGCCACCCCAUUCCAGGUGCCAGAGCUGGAACAUGCAGUUCCGGAGGCCAUGGUUGUGUGGUGCCUACCUUGCGUUCCAGGUCCCUUCUAUAUGGGGCCUCAGGCAGUGGAGGAAUGUACCCUGCCUGGGGGGCAUUUCACCUAUUUGCCCCACACCCUGGGCCUGUGUCCUUCUGUCCUGCACGGAACCUGUGUCCUUCCCCCACCCCUCCCCUACAUAAUGAGUCUCUUCUAUCACACAAUAACUCCUUGGUGGAAAUAAGCACACAGCCUGGGGUACACUGGGCAGGAGGAUGACGCAUGGGGGUCUCCUUCCCUCCUUCUGAAGCCCCAUGGCGAUCCUGUCCCACUCCUUAAACUAUCUGUAUCUCCACACUCUCCCUGUACUCCAUGAAGUCCCCUGAAGGGCAAAAGACAACUCUACUUGCUUUUCUAGAGGACAUGGGCCUUGGCAGGGACCUGGGUACAGCUCCUGCCAAAAGCACCGUGGGCAUCAGCCCCAGGUAAGGGAGCACUCAUGGACCAGCCCCAGGUAAGGGAGGACUCAUGGACCAAUCCAGGGAUAAAACGGAACACGAGUUUUAUAUCCUGGUGGGCGGGGGGGGGAAGGGGGCAGGUGUCAGCAGCGAUGGAAAUGUGAGGACACCAGGCCUGGAGCUUCAGUGACUUGGCCAAAGUCCCACGGCUGCCCUCGGUGUGCACUCAGGCUCUGGAACAUCAUGGCUCAUCACGUUUAACCUCCUGUUUCCAUCUGGGUGAUGAAAAGCUAAGGGGAGUUAACGCGCCGCUGCAGCUCAUUGUCAAAGCCAGCUUCAGGCAGAGAACGAAGGAGGGAGCGACUUCGGGGCUGGGUGAGCUGGAUUCUGUUCCUGCUCUGCCACCACCAUAAGCGGUCCCAGCUGUUACAACGCGGCUCUGCACCUCCACUUCCUCCUCUGUAAAAUGAGUGUCCUCGCCUCUGUCCUCGCUCCCUCUCAAGACUUCUGGGGGAGGGAUGACACGCUAUGAAAAUGCUGAACCUGGACUCAGGAUGCGGCGCAGGUGGAAUGGGGGGAGAAAUGCUCCCACGUGUGCACACACUCACCCAUCCAGACUUCGCCGAAUUGUCCAGACCCGAGUUUCCUGACCAGCCUGAGAGACUGCCGGGGGAUCUCCCAUUCAUCCUGGGCCCAGGGAUUCUGCGGGGCCGGGCGCACACAGGGCAGGGUCAGCCUCUGGCAUAGACCAUCCCCCUUCUCUGCAUUAGGGAAGAAAAGACAGGGCUGGGGGUUACCAGAGCAGCCAGGCUCUACCUUGGGAGCUGUAUCAUUCCUAGCUGGCCCUCCACUCCCCAGCCACCCCACCCCCUGCAUGGGUGUGUGCACACGCCUGCACAUGCACACACACUCAACUCUUUCUCUUCGUUUGCGCAAAGCAGGGCAUGCUAUCUCUAAAAUCGACCUGCUCACUCUAAGACUGAAAAUGCUUGCUACUCUCUAAGGGGUUCCCUGCUGAGCCAGGAGAGGGAAUUAGGGCCACCAAUUCCCGGUGCUCAGAGUUGCUACCUCCUUAGGCCUAACUUUGGGAUAAUCUUUCCAUCCCCCAAGGUGGCACCAAUGACUCACACAAUUGGGAAUCUUAGCGAGAGAUCCAGGGGCUCUUGGCACAAGUCCCUGCCCCCAUUGCACGCCCCCUCUUACUAGAAUAGUGCUGCACCAGGGCCUGGAGCGAGGGGAAGGUGAUCCGGGGGGAGAUGUAGUAGCCCCCUUCAUCCAGGCAGCGGAUCUUAUAGUGCUUGAUCAGCUCCCCCUGGGUGGUGACAUCCUUCACAGACAGGGAGAAGGCACCUGGAGGGUUCAUGAAGACACACACGAGAAGUAAGGCACAAAGACAAAAAACGGGACUGGGAUUUGGGCCUCAUUUUAAAGCUUUGAAAAAAGUUCCCCAAUUCUGUUCUUCAUUAUCAGCACUCCCUCCACAAGUUUCCUUUCCCUGCAUCUCAACCUCCAUGCUUUUGGAAGCCUCCCCUCAGCUGCAAGUACCCAUGUCCAUGGCGGACACCGUAAUAAGCUAUGCCCAGGGGCUCUGUUCAAAGUCAUUUGCUGCCUGUUACAUACACCUGUUAUUUUGUCUUCUAGGUUAAUGUUUUCCCGCAGGCAAGUGGUAGCAGAUGUCAAGGGUUAAGGACAAUUUAGGAGGCUGCACUUGUGUCGGGUGCCUCGGGCGAUGAGCCCAGGAGCCCGCUCUCCACGCAGUGACGCUUCCCAAGCUGGUGCUUUAGACCCCUCACUUGCCUGGCUGCUCUGAGGCCCCGUCCCUGAUGGCUUCUGACAAUUUGGUGUCCUUUGUAAAGACGACCUCAGAUCCUAUCAGCUUCAGUUUCACAAAACCUGGAUCCCCUGCCUCUGUGGUAUGUCUGGACUGCCCUGGGCAGGCAGGGCCUGGCUCUGAGAUGAAGAUUUCUCAGCACUGAAGGACCGCCUGCCUUUGAGCUGUGAAACUAGUCUAUCCUCACAUAGACACCAGUAAACUGAGGCUUGAGAGGCUCAAGGACACCCCGGAGGCCACGAAGGGUAGAACUCACUCCCCUGCUUCCAUCCCUGUCUUGCAUUCACUGCUGUGGCUCGGAGAAGCAGAGGGGUCUUGCUUUGGAGUUGUGUGUGUGUGUGCAUAUGUACGUGUAAGGUGUGUACAUGUGUUGCACACGUGUUCAUUGCAUCUGUGCAUAUGUGCACAUGUAUAUGUGUGCGUGUGUGUGUAUAUGUGCAUGCGUGGACAUGUGUAUGUGUUUGCAUGUGUAUGUGUGCACACAUGCCUGUGUAUGCACAUGUGUGUAUAUGUGUGCAUUUGUGCAUAUGUGCAUGUGUGUUCAUGUGUGCAUGUGUAUGUGCGUGUGGUGGUGAUGAUGGUUGAACAGUCCUGCAGCCCUGGUCCCAUAUGGCCUAUUCCCAGCUUGGACUGGCUUCCUGGGGUGGACAUGGACAGGAAAAGAUGCCAGACUCAUAGAGAACCCCUUCUUCCUCCACACCAGAUUGGGCAGGGGGUGGGGAGGCUUUCACCUUAGCAAUAGGCAAUGGUUGAAAUAUCAUUUCCAGGGUGACAUGACAUGAUGUUUGGGAUUUACUUCGAAAGAACAGGGGUGGAGCGGGAGAUACAGAUGAAACAAGACUGGCUCAGUUGAUAAUUGUUGAAGCUGGCUGUUGGGUACCAGGGGUUCCACUAAACUAUUUUCUCUACUUCUGUGUAUGUUUGAAAUGUCCUGGAACAACAAUAAAACACUUAUGUCAUCUCCAGUGAUUCCCAAAUUAUUUCUUGUACAGAGGUGCUCUGCCACAAAAAUGAAAUAGUGACAAUAUCCAAUAUGAAUAUAAAUAUAAAAUGCAUAUAUCUAUGUGUAUGUAUAUGUAUGUAUAUGCAUUCAUUGGCAUAUUCCAAGAAAUCCUGCACAGAGCACCCCAGCUUUCCAAUGCACCCUUCCUGCUCCCCAACCUGGUCCUGCCCCUUUGUGGGGCACCAAGGCCUCAUGAUGUCCCCAGAGAAUCACAGGGUGCUAUGACAGCUUUUCAUACUCUGGGUUUCCACUCUGGCUGCUGUUCUUGAGCCACAGAUGGAACCAAUGGACAGCCCAAGGGUGCUCCCACCAGGUGACAACUCUGUCCAUUCUCAUCGCCCCAACCACAGGGAACCAGACUCAUAUUCCAGACACUCUCUCUCCCUUUCCUCCUCUGAUGUCACUGUCACCAUCUCCUCUCCAGUUAAAAUUGGCUACAAGGCUGUACCUGGUCCCUGUGGACAGCUUCCUGAUGAGCAAAGCAUUCUUCAUACUGCCUGGGAAGCCCCUGGGUCACCCUAGCUUGCCACGUUGUAGAGCUUGGGAAGCCUCUCAGCCUCUUAGAUGAUGUGGUCACUGGUGCUUUGGGCUCUGAUGCUUACUGUUGGCCCCCAGCAAGUCACUUCCUGUUUCAGGGACUCCCUUUCCUCAUCUGUCAAGUGGAUUAGUAUCUUACAGACGAAAAGCUAGUGGCCAGUGAGCACCAGGGACCAUAAUAGGGUUCGGUGCAACACAUGCAUUAACAGCCCCAAACUGGAAACAACUCAAUGCCCACAACAUGAGAAUGGCUAACUUGACUCUGGAAUGGUCACACCCGGGAUUCUGUAUAGCAAUGAACAUGAACAGGCUCACCAUCCUCAACCACAUGAAUGAAUCUGUUACUGGUUGAAUCAUGUGCGCUCCCAAUUCAUAUGUUAAAGUCCUAACCCUCGGUCCUGAGAAUGUGGCUAUAUGUGGAGACAGAGCCUUUAAAGGGGUGAUUAAGUUAAAAUGAGGUCAUAUGGGUGGGCCCUAAUCCAAAUUGACAGGUGUCCUUACAAGAAGAGAUUAGGACACAGACAUGCAUGGAGGGACGGCCACGUGAGGACACAGAGAAGACGGCCAUCGGCAAGCCAAGGAGAGAGCUCCCGGGAGGAGCCAACGCUGCUGACACUUUGGUCGUGGACUUCCAGCCUCCAGAGCUGUGAGAUAAUAAGCUUCUGUGGUGGAAGCCACCCAGUCUGUGCCACUUUGUUACGGCAGCCCAGGAAACUAACAUAGAAUCCCACAAACACUGCUGAGUGACAGAAGCAAGACACACAGAAACAAAAACAGUGAUUCUAUCUACAUCAAGCUGAAAAAACAGACAAGACAUGGUGGCGAAACCACAGAGAAGAGCAAGGAAGGAUUUCCAUCCAAGUCAGGACAGCAGGUAGCUCUUGAGGGUGGGGGUUGAAUCAGGAAGGAGCCCAAGUGGGGGAGUGAGGGGGCUCCUGGUGGUCUGGGAUGCUCUUUCUCUUGGCUGUCAUUACACAGGGAUUUGUUUAUUAUUACCCUAUAUGAUUUAGAAUUACACAUUCAUACUUCAUGCAAGCUUUAUAUGUGUUUUAUAUUUUACACCAAAAAAAUUAAGAAGGAAAGAAAGCCAAAUGACAGAGAAAGAGAGAAAACCCCUGAGGGUGAUGGCAGCUGUUUUGCUCAGUCAGUGGAUUUGAACUCAUGAGUGUCUAGACUGGCAUGGGCUCCCCUCAAUUACCACCCUCUUCUCUUACAUCACGGCACAGGCCACUUCCUAACAUAUGCUACCUGCAGCCUCUGGCUGAGAUGAUCUUGAAGGAUUCUUUGAGCUCCCCCUAAUCCUUGAUUCCAAAGAGGCUGGUGGUUAAGGGCUCAGGGUUCCCCCUUCCCUGGCCCCCACUGGCCUCGGUGUUCCUGCUGACUGGGCAGCAGGGCCAGUCUGGCGUGGGACCACCCCUGUCCACCCGGCUUCCUGUGCCCAGGUGGUUUCCAGCCGGGACAGGGAGGACUGUGUGGACAGCCCCCAUGUCAACUCCCGGGCAGGGCCUGAAUUGGGAGGGACACAAGCCCGGAAGCUGCUGGUUCUCCUGGCAGUCACCCCUUCCCCUCUCACUCCAGGGCCAGGCCUCUGGAGGCGCCUUCCCGGGAGGAGCAGGGCAAGGAAGGCAGGCAAAGCCACCAAGCCUACCUUUGUUGGUUUCACUCUCUCUGAUAAGAAAGGA
rnacentral:lncRNA from 1 species